rnacentral:rRNA from 1 species
UACGGAGGGGGCUAGCGUUAUUCGGAAUUACUGGGCGUAAAGCGCACGUAGGCGGCUUUGUAAGUCAGAGGUGAAAGCCUGGAGCUCAACUCCAGAACUGCCUUUGAGACUGCAUCGCUUGAAUCCAGGAGAGGUGAGUGGAAUUCCGAGUGUAGAGGUGAAAUUCGUAGAUAUUCGGAAGAACACCAGUGGCGAAGGCGGCUCACUGGACUGGUAUUGACGCUGAGGUGCGAAAGCGUGGGGAGCAAACAGGG